GUGCGUCUGGUCCUUGAGAACUCAACAGCGUGCACAUUGUCAAUGCCAAUUUAUUGACCCCGUGGCGUUCCACUUGUGGGACGUCCGGAGACAAUUCCUUUUGGAUUGAAGAUUGUCAGUAGACAGUCAACAGUCAAGAUCAACUCGGCCUGACGCUUUCGGGUGUUGGGUCUGUAAUUUUUUACGGAGAGUUUGAUCCUGGCUCAGGACGAACGCUGGCGGCGUGCUUAACACAUGCAAGUCGAACGAUGAUGCCCAGCUUGCUGGGCGGAUUAGUGGCGAACGGGUGAGUAACACGUGAGUAACCUGCCCCUGACUCUGGGAUAAGCGUUGGAAACGACGUCUAAUACUGGAUAUGAUCACCGGCCGCAUGGUCUGGUGGUGGAAAGAUUUUUUGGUUGGGGAUGGACUCGCGGCCUAUCAGCUUGUUGGUGAGGUAAUGGCUCACCAAGGCGACGACGGGUAGCCGGCCUGAGAGGGUGACCGGCCACACUGGGACUGAGACACGGCCCAGACUCCUACGGGAGGCAGCAGUGGGGAAUAUUGCACAAUGGGCGAAAGCCUGAUGCAGCAACGCCGCGUGAGGGAUGACGGCCUUCGGGUUGUAAACCUCUUUUAGUAGGGAAGAAGCGAAAGUGACGGUACCUGCAGAAAAAGCACCGGCUAACUACGUGCCAGCAGCCGCGGUAAUACGUAGGGUGCAAGCGUUGUCCGGAAUUAUUGGGCGUAAAGAGCUCGUAGGCGGUUUGUCGCGUCUGCUGUGAAAUCCCGAGGCUCAACCUCGGGCUUGCAGUGGGUACGGGCAGACUAGAGUGCGGUAGGGGAGAUUGGAAUUCCUGGUGUAGCGGUGGAAUGCGCAGAUAUCAGGAGGAACACCGAUGGCGAAGGCAGAUCUCUGGGCCGUAACUGACGCUGAGGAGCGAAAGCAUGGGGAGCGAACAGGAUUAGAUACCCUGGUAGUCCAUGCCGUAAACGUUGGGCGCUAGAUGUAGGGACCUUUCCACGGUUUCUGUGUCGUAGCUAACGCAUUAAGCGCCCCGCCUGGGGAGUACGGCCGCAAGGCUAAAACUCAAAGGAAUUGACGGGGGCCCGCACAAGCGGCGGAGCAUGCGGAUUAAUUCGAUGCAACGCGAAGAACCUUACCAAGGCUUGACAUACACCGGAAACGGCCAGAGAUGGUCGCCCCCUUGUGGUCGGUGUACAGGUGGUGCAUGGUUGUCGUCAGCUCGUGUCGUGAGAUGUUGGGUUAAGUCCCGCAACGAGCGCAACCCUCGUUCUAUGUUGCCAGCGGGUUAUGCCGGGGACUCAUAGGAGACUGCCGGGGUCAACUCGGAGGAAGGUGGGGAUGACGUCAAAUCAUCAUGCCCCUUAUGUCUUGGGCUUCACGCAUGCUACAAUGGCCGGUACAAAGGGCUGCGAUACCGUAAGGUGGAGCGAAUCCCAAAAAGCCGGUCUCAGUUCGGAUUGAGGUCUGCAACUCGACCUCAUGAAGUCGGAGUCGCUAGUAAUCGCAGAUCAGCAACGCUGCGGUGAAUACGUUCCCGGGCCUUGUACACACCGCCCGUCAAGUCAUGAAAGUCGGUAACACCCGAAGCCGGUGGCCUAACCCUUGUGGAAGGAGCCGUCGAAGGUGGGAUCGGUGAUUAGGACUAAGUCGUAACAAGGUAGCCGUACCGGAAGGUGCGGCUGGAUCACCUCCUUUCUAAGGAGCAUCUGGCAU
rnacentral:rRNA from 1 species